GAUGAAGAACGUAGCGAAAUGCGAUACUUGGUGUGAAUUGCAGAAUCCCGUGAACCAUCGAGUCUUUGAACGCAAGUUGCGCCCGAAGCCACUAGGCCGAGGGCACGCCUGCCUGGGCGUCACACGCCGUUGCCCCCCCAUCUACUCCUUCGGGAUUGCGGGGGGGCGGAUGAUGGCCUCCUGUGCGCCUAGCCGCGCGGUUGGCAUAAAUACCAAGUCCUCGGCGACGCACGCCACGACAAUCGGUGGUUGCGAAACCUCGGUUGCCCGUCGUGUGCGUUCGUCGCGCAUCGAGGGCUCGAAAAAAUGCUCGGCUCCGGCUGGGCUUUCAACGCGACCCCAGGUCAGGUGGGGUUACCCGCUGAAUUUAAGCAUAUCAAUAAGCGGAGGA
rnacentral:misc_RNA from 1 species